rnacentral:lncRNA from 1 species
GGUACACAUUGCUGUCCAGCCAGCUGCCAGUGGACCUUCCUUGUAAGUAACUCCUCAGUAAACCCACAUAUCUCGUUCGCUGACUCUGGGUCUUUUCUUUGGUCUCUUGGCAACCUAUCCCGCACUGCUCACCCAGCUGGGUGUGUGGUAGAACACUUGGCGAAGACAGAAAAACCCCCAUGAGUGCUGAGACUAUGGGCGAUGGAAGGGGAAUCUGCAGGGGUAAUCCUGGGUCCGCCCUGUGGGGGCUGGCUGCCACUAUCCUUGAAGGAGAGGGCCCACUGUACCUUCAGGAAGCCUCCGGAUCCCUCCUCACCCACCUAUGCCAACAAGGAUGGGUGGUAAACGACAACAAAAGCAGGUGGAGCCCAUAACCUGUUCCCUGCUGGUCACAAUCCGUACUCAUCCGCCCAUUGCCAGGUGGCUGCAGGACGCUCUCCAGAAGCCCCACUCGAGAGCAACCCAAACACAGACAUUGGCAAAAUGGCAUGCACACUUACAACGACGAGGGACCCUGACCAACAGUCCCCUCAGUGCCGAACUGCAUGCCAUCCUGGGGCCAGUAACAUACACCACAGAAAAAACAACCCUGUUAGAUGAGGCGCCCAUGCCUGAAACCCUGCCAAACGUACAGAAAGGAGAAGGACCAAUCCCAGUGGAGGCCUGGUAUAUGGAUGGCUCUGCAAGGGGCAACCCCCCUCCCGACUCCCCAGUGGACAGCACUAGCCAUCCAGCCUUCGACCGACAGCGUGUGGUUGGACUGUGGCUCUGGGUACAAUAGUCAAUGGGCUGAACUGCGAGCUGCCUGGAUGGUGCUGACUCGUGAACCCGAUCCAAUGCGUCUGUGCAUGGACAGGUGGGCGGUCUACAAAGGGCUCACCCUGUGGAUGGCACAGAGGGCACAACAAAAGUGGACAAUUAAUGGUCGCCCAUUGUGGGGGGCAGAACUCUGGGAUGAUAUCUGGCAGCAGGUCCAGGGAAUGACAGUAACAGUGUACCAUGUGUCUGCACAUCAGGCGAUGACGCCACCAGGGAACCAACAAGCAGAUGAGUUAGCUUGGAUUCGUCUCCUGGAAGAAGUGCCAGCCAAAAGAGUGGCAGAGCAGCUACACAAGAAGACUGGCACAAAGGACAAAGAAUCCUAGGGGCUAUUGCCAAGGCCUGGGGCCUCCCCCUGCACUAUGCUGGUGUGGUGCAGGUCUGUCGGGUGUGCCCUUCUUGCUCCUCGCAGAGACCCUGGGCCAUUCCCUGGGACACAGGCCAAAUAGCCAGAAACAACGCUGGCAAGUGGACUACAUUGGGCCCUUGCCUCUUUCUGAUGGCUGUCGGCAUGCUCUCACUUGUGUGGGGACAUCUACAGGACUGCUACAGACAUACCCCAGCAAAAGGGCCACAGCAUGAGGCCUGGGACGUCUCUGUGCUGCAUACGGUGUUCCCACAGACAUCAACAGUGACAAAGGUAUGCAUUUUACUGGCCAUCAGGUACAGACACGGGCUGGUCAAAUGGACAUACAUUGGCAUUCUCACCUGCCACACAAUCCCAUGGCCACAAGGCUGGUAGAACAAAUGAAUGGCUUCCUGAAACAAUUGAGGAUAGAAGACAGAACCCUAGCCCACUAGACAAGACACCUGGCAACUGCAAUACGUCAACUGAAUGAACAUGAGAGGCGCACCCAACCCAACGCAUAUGAGAUGUUGACACAAGGACCUGAUACAACAGUGCGUCUACAGACAAGGGAUCAUCAAAGAGACAAACUACAGCCACAGAUGAGCACUCAGAACAACUUGCUUUUUCCUCUGCCACAGAACUCCCUACUGGGACCCACAUGGUCACUUGCCCUGGGACUGGCAGGGAAUAAUGACAAGAAAAAGAAGUCUGUACGGGCACAUCACAGACCUUUCCACCUGCGGCCGGUUGAAUCCACAUCACACAGGGGAGCGACUGUCCGUGGUUUAGGGAGUAGGAGGCAAAGGGAAGAUUUACGCCGCGGGCUAUGGGCAUGGAAAAUCAAAAUGAAAGAAACAUUAAGGU